CUCCCAGAGGCUGGAGCGGCUUGGGAGGGAGACAGGUUCUGCGGGUCCACUCGGUCAUAGGAGAUGAGCCUGACGAGGACCGGCCCGGGGCCCGAGUGGGCCAGAGGGGGUGAGAUGGUGACCGUGAGCUUGGGGUCAGCAGUCAGCGGCAUUUCAAAGGCCUCUGGUGGCAGACUGAGCAGGCGGCUUACCCUCACGUGCUCCCCGAAGGACACGAGCCCGAUGGAGAUGGUCUGCAGGAACGGCCGGAUGGCGGGCGUGAACUGUGGAGAGAUGCCGCUGGGUCACCCGCUGCCCAGGAGGGACUGGAGGCAGGCACGAGUGAGGGGCAGAGACGGGGUUUGGGGAGAGACGUGGUCAUCCAGCAAACAUUUAGUGAGCUCCUACUGUGUGCCAGGCACUGCUCUAGGGGACAGGAAGCAAAUAAAGGCAUAUGUUCGAUGUUAA